rnacentral:rRNA from 1 species
CAGUCGCCGCGGUAAUACGAAGGGUGCAAGCGUUAAUCGGAAUUACUGGGCGUAAAGCGUGCGUAGGCGGUGAGUUAAGUCUGCUGUGAAAGCCCUGGGCUCAACCUGGGAAUUGCAGUGGAUACUGGGUCACUAGAGUGUGGUAGAGGAUAGUGGAAUUUCCGGUGUAGCAGUGAAAUGCGUAGAGAUCGGAAGGAACAUCUGUGGCGAAGGCGACUAUCUGGGCCAACACUGACACUGAGGCACGAAAGCGUGGGGUGCAAACAGGAUUAGAUACCCCAGUAGUCCCUGUCUCUUAUAC